rnacentral:rRNA from 1 species
CGGGUGAGUAACGCGUGGGUAACCUGCCUUAUACAGGGGAGAUAACAACCAGAAAUGGUUGCUAAUACCGCAUAAGCGCACAGGACCGCAUGGUCCGGUGUGAAAAACUCCGGUGGUAUAAGAUGGACCCGCGUUGGAUUAGCUAGUUGGCAGGGUAACGGCCUACCAAGGCAACGAUCCAUAGCCGGCCUGAGAGGGUGAACGGCCACAUUGGGACUGAGACACGGCCCAGACUCCUACGGGAGGCAGCAGUGGGGAAUAUUGCACAAUGGGGGAAACCCUGAUGCAGCGACGCCGCGUGAAGGAAGAAGUAUCUCGGUAUGUAAACUUCUAUCAGCAGGGAAGAUAGUGACGGUACCUGACUAAGAAGCCCCGGCUAACUACGUGCCAGCAGCCGCGGUAAUACGUAGGGGGCAAGCGUUAUCCGGAUUUACUGGGCGUAAAGGGAGCGUAGACGGACUGGCAAGUCUGAUGUGAAAGGCGGGGGCUCAACCCCUGGACUGCAUUGGAAACUGUUAGUCUUGAGUGCCGGAGAGGUAAGCGGAAUUCCUAGUGUAGCGGUGAAAUGCGUAGAUAUUAGGAGGAACACCAGUGGCGAAGG